CUCUUCCACCCUGGCGUCCCCAGCUGCUCGCGCCCAAGGCGGCUCGUCCAGGCCCCCGACCUGAGAGACUGCCGGGUUCCGCCCCCCACACACCGAUUCUUCAAGGAGACCCGCUGGGGACACCCCCACUCGCUUAUGCCUGCGGGACACCGUUGCUGCCACCACCCAUUUCACCCUUGGGAGAAUCUUCUCCUCCCCAGCCACCAACCCUGACGGGAAUGAAACCAAGUUCCUCUCUGCUGCUCGUGAAGUUUAUUUAACAAGACAACGGAAAUGUGAACCAGCCUUCAAACUCAGCAAGAUCCCAGUAAAGCCCACAGCAAGACUGCUGCUCCUCAGUUGCCUUUCACUUCAUGCAUGGAAUACUGGAGAGCCAGAGGAGCAGGCAGGAUGUGCCGGAGAGACGUUGGAACUCCAAGUAGCGGGGGACCAGGGAAGGAGGAUACAGCCUUGUGUGGAGGGCUGGCUUCCUCAGCCGUUCCCUCCAGGACAACCGUGAGUUCCUCCACAAAGGCAGAUUGAAGCCUGAAGCUAAAAGCUUAAGCCGUUGGGCACCUCACUAGCUAAAGCCCCUUCUAAAGUCCUCGGGCAUGGGAGCAGUUGGUCACGUGGUACAACAGAUGCCUCUGGUGCCCCGUGUCCCAUCCCCUUUGGCAGCCUCUAAUUUCUGUCCGAGCUGAGUCCCCUGAAAAUGCAAUUACCAAUGAGCAAUGCCCUGAAAACGGAGGCUCUCCGUCUGCAGGCUCUGAAUGGCUCAAUUCUGCUUCUUCAAUAGAUCUAAGAAGUGGAGGUGAGAGACAUCAUCAUUCAAAGAGAGAUAGGAAUCAUUGUAUAAGUGUUUCAGCCUUUCCUGCAAUAGGAACAUUGUGUACGAUCAAGGUGUGCCCUUGAUUAUGCACGUUGAUAUUAGCUUUUCAUUCUUUUCUGUCUUCCUCUUCCUGCUACCAUACUUCUGGGAACAUUUUCCAAAUCAGUGCCUGCGUGGAAUAGACCUUUGUCUUCGGGCUUCUCUGCUGGUCCAGUGGGGAAGACUCAGCCCUCCCACUACACAGGGUGUGGGUUCCAUCCCUGGUUGAAGAAGUAAGAUUCUACAUGCUUCAUAGGGUGGCCAAAAUAAUACUAGGCCUUUGUCUUCAGCUCUGCUUUCAAAAAACCAGCUAGAAGUGUUGCAGAAACCAGUACUCGAGAAACCAAGCACCACACUCAGAGAGUUGGAGAACUCAGGUUUAUUACGCCAGCGGGCCCAGAGGGGUUAGCACUCCAAGCUCUGAGCCCUGAAGAAAGGAAUUACAGGGUUUUUUUAGACUAUAGUGGGCAACACUAACUCUCAAUAGGUUGGUUAAAACUAAGCGGUUCACAUGCGCAGGAACACUGGUCCAGGUGGGAAGGGGGAUGCCUGACCUGGACAGGCAUGAUUAAGCAGGUUUGCAGGCCCUGGGCAAAUGCAAAGAUCAAGACAAGAGUGAGUGAGAUAAACUCCAGUUCCUAGUAUUGCAAAUCCGCACUUUCUGAGACUAUGUGACCUACAUGAUCUAGAC